rfam:Salmo salar isolate Sally breed double haploid chromosome ssa13, whole genome shotgun sequence.
UCAUAACGUGAAUGUAAGUCGCUCUGGAUAAGAGCAUCUGCUAAAUGACGUAAA